AUUGAACGCUGGCGGCAGGCCUAACACAUGCAAGUCGAGCGGAUGAGAGGAGCUUGCUUCUCGAUUCAGCGGCGGACGGGUGAGUAAUGCCUGGGAAUCUGCCUGGUAGUGGGGGACAACGUUUCGAAAGGAACGCUAAUACCGCAUACGUCCUACGGGAGAAAGCAGGGGACCUUCGGGCCUUGCGCUAUCAGAUGAGCCUAGGUCGGAUUAGCUAGUUGGUGAGGUAAUGGCUAACCAAGGCGACGAGCCGUAACUGGUCUGAGAGGAUGAUCAGUCACACUGGAACUGAGACACGGUCCAGACUCCUACGGGAGGCAGCAGUGGGGAAUAUUGGACAAUGGGCGAAAGCCUGAUCCAGCCAUGCCGCGUGUGUGAAGAAGGUCUUCGGAUUGUAAAGCACUUUAAGUUGGGAGGAAGGGUUGUAGAUUAAUACUCUGCAAUUUUGACGUUACCGACAGAAUAAGCACCGGCUAACUCUGUGCCAGCAGCCGCCGUAAUAC
rnacentral:rRNA from 1 species